rnacentral:rRNA from 1 species
CCCUUAGACGUUCUGGGCCGCACGCGCGCUACACUGACCAGUGCAACAAGCAUCCGUCCUUGGCCGACAGGCCUGGGCAAUCUUUGAACAUCGAUCGUGAUCGGGAUAGAUUCUUGUAAUUUUUGAUCUUAAACGAGGAAUUCCUAGUAAACGCAAGUCAUCAGCUUGCAUUGAUUACGUCCCUGCCCUUUGUACACACCGCCCGUCGCACCUACCGAUUGAAUGGUCCGGUGAAAUCUCGGGACGGCGGCUUGGUCGCUUGCGUCCGACUGCUGAAACUUGAUUAAACCAUAUCAUUUAGAGGAAGGUGAAGUCGUAACA